UACGGAGGGUGCGAGCGUUAAUCGGAAUAACUGGGCGUAAAGGGCACGCAGGCGGUUGUUUAAGUGAGAUGUGAAAUCCCCGAGCUUAACUUGGGAACUGCAUCUCAGACUGGGGGUCUAGAGUACUUUAGGGAGGGGUAGAAUUCCACGUGUAGCGGUGAAAUGCGUAGAGAUGUGGAGGAAUACCGAAGGCGAAGGCAGCCCCUUGGGGAUGUACUGACGCUCAUGUGCGAAAGCGUGGGGAGCAAACA
rnacentral:rRNA from 1 species